CCGCACUCAAUUUACAAAUAAAACUGGGUUUAAAAAGUCUGCUAAUCAUGCACGCUAUGUUUAUAAGGAGACACUGUGGAAAAAAACACUCUCUAAUCUAAACCUAAUUCUCUUAUAGUGUAGAAGCCCGUGGAGUGUUUGCAGCCCUGGCAGCAGCAGAUCUGUGGAUCCUGACAGCAGCAGCAGCAGCAGAAACAGCAGCAGCAAAACGGACUAAAGUGUGCUCCUCCUCUGCUUUGUGGAAGUUUACUCUUCUACUAUAACUUCCCUUCAGAAUUGACGCAGAGCCGCAGCGCAGCUCAGAUUAUCCGCAGAGGAAACGCAGCAGAGCGGCGAAAAACUGUUCCCACUUCAGAUCCUGCGGGAAAUUCAACCCACGCUGCUGACAGGUUAUGACGAGGACACGCUGGGGAUUGCAGGUUUCACAGGCGCGCGCGCACACACACACUAUUGCGCUUCAUUCAUAGUGAGGACCCUCAUCUAUAUAAUACAUUAUCUAGCUCUUUAUCCUUACCGUGCCAAAAUGUCCUCACUUUGACCCAAAGAUCCUCACUGUGCCAAAAGUCCUCAUUUUGACCCAAAGGUCCUCACUGUGCCAAAAUGUCCUCAUUGUGCCAAAAUGUCCUCAUUGUGCCAAAAGCGUCCUCACUUUGACCCAAAUGUCCUCACUGUGCCAAAAACGUCCUCACUUUGACCCGAAUGUCCUCACUGUGCCAAAAACGUCCUCACUUUGACCCGAAUGUCCUCACUUUGACAGAAAUGCCCACUUUCCCAAAAUGUCCAAAAAGGUUUUUGGUCCUCACAAAUCAACAAAUACAAGAACACACACACGGAGUGGCUUGUGUAGUGUUUGCGUUCUUGUUUUGUGCCUCUUUACGACCUUUUUUCUGGCAUAAACGAUGACCUUGGCAGGGCCAGAAGUCCUCAUGGAGACCCAAACCUGGUCCCAAUGAGGCAGAGUUAGU